UUCAAGUGAUAAGUGCAUACCGACACAAAAGGCACGAGGUGCUGAUGAUCGCAGUGACUCAGAGUAUGAACCAGAUGCUGAAGAGGAGGCCCUUGCAAAGGAAGAGGAUUUGAGAGAUGAAGAGGAGGUCGCUCUUGCUAAGUCCAAAGCAAUGAGUAACUUUGAGAUGGAAAAGAAUGACAAGGUUGGGAAUGAUGUAUGCACAAAAGUAAUGCAGAAGGGUGUUCGACAACAACGCUACAAGCUAAAGAAGAAAUACUUCAAUGGUUAUACUGAGUGAGUUUUUCAAACAAACCCGUACAAACAGCAAUACUGGUAGCAUGAGCGAGCCGACACUUCUAGCUCCUAAUGCGAUGGAAAAGAAAAGGGAAACACAAUCAGAAGGUGAGAAGCCAUUAUCGGACACAGCUACUGUGGCUGAAGUUCUAAAGGAAGAAAGCGCCCAUAGCACCUUCCUUUCCAGCAUGGGGUAUGCAUAAGACCCGGGAGGUCUGGGAGCUCUACUUCAUCAGCCCAGAUCCAAGUUCUAGAAGAAAGAAUUUGAACAAAAGAAUAGAGAGGCAAGAGAUGCAAAUGACAGGCAUCUGGAGGAGUUAGCCGCAAGACUUAAAGCACAAGAGAGAGCAUUUGAAGAGAUACAAAAGAAGCAGCAAGAAGAAUUGGAAGCUCUUAAGAAGAUCCCACAAGAGAAGAAUAAAGCCUGUGCAAAGAAGCAAAAGGAGACGGAUAAUCUGCUUGAUUUUCUCUUGACGGCUCAAGCAACUCAACAAGCAACUCUGCACUUGAUGGUUCAUGAAUGCCAUCCCUACAUUGCAAUCAUUAGGAAAACAUGUGUGGUCUUUAAUUACUAUUAGUUUUCAUCUUGUCUAUUGUCUGUAUCAAACUUGAGUCAGUUUUUCACCAUCAUUUUUGUUUACAGAAUGAUUUGGCUUAGACGAUUUCAUAUAUAAUAUGAUUUGUCUUUUAUAUCAAUUUAUGAUGUGAAUUUUC